GGUAAUGUAGCUCAGUGGUAGAGAGCCCUUGCCUACCAUGCGCAAGACCAUGGGUUCAAUCCCCAGUACCA
rnacentral:tRNA from 1 species